rnacentral:rRNA from 1 species
GAUGAACGCUGGCGGCGUGCCUAAUACAUGCAAGUCGAGCGAACGGACGAGAAGCUUGCUUCUCUGAUGUUAGCGGCGGACGGGUGAGAAACACGUGGAUAACCUACCUAUAAGACUGGGAUAACUUCGGGAAACCGGAGCUAAUCCCGGAUAAUAUUUUGAACCGCAUGGUUCAAAAGUGAAAGACGGUCUUGCUGUCACUUAUAGAUGGAUCCGCGCUGCAUUAGCUAGUUGGUAAGGUAACGGCUUACCAAGGCAACGAUGCAUAGCCGACCUGAGAGGGUGAUCGGCCACACUGGAACUGAGACACGGUCCAGACUCCUACGGGAGGCAGCAGUAGGGAAUCUUCCGCAAUGGGCGAAAGCCUGACGGAGCAACGCCGCGUGAGUGAUGAAGGUCUUCGGAUCGUAAAACUCUGUUAUUAGGGAAGAACAUAUGUGUAAGUAACUGUGCACAUCGUGACGGUACCUAAUCAGAAAGCCACGGCUAACUACGUG